UACGUAGGGAGCAAGCGUUGUCCGGAAUCAUUGGGCGUAAAGCGCGCGUAGGUGGCCUCAUAAGUCCGUUGUGAAAGUCAAAGACUCAACCUUUGAAAGCCGAUGGAUACUGUGAGACUAGAGUACGGAAGAGGCGAGUGGAAUUCCUGGUGUAGCGGUGGAAUGCGCAGAUAUCCGGAGGAACACCGGUGGCGAAGGCGGCUUCCUGGACCGACACUGACGCUGAGGCGCGAAAGCUAGGGGAGCAAACGGG
rnacentral:rRNA from 1 species